rnacentral:rRNA from 1 species
GUGUCAGCAGCCGCGGUAAUACAGAGGGUGCAAGCGUUAAUCGGAAUUACUGGGCGUAAAGCGUGCGUAGACGGUUACAUAAGUCGGAUGUGAAAGCCCCGGGCUCAACCUGGGAAUGGCAUUCGAGACUGUGCAGCUAGGAUGCGGAAGAGGGAAGCGGAAUUUCCGGUGUAGCGGUGAAAUGCGUAGAUAUCGGAAGGAACACCAGUGGCGAAAGCGGCUUCCUGGUCCAGCAUCGACGUUCAGGCACGAAAGCGUGGGGAGCAAACAGGAUUAGAAACCCUUGUAGUCC